GGAGAGGUGGGUGAGUGGCUGAAACCAACGGUUUGCUAAACCGUCAUACUCUUAACCGGGUAUCCCGGGUUCGAAUCCCGGCCUCUCCGCAA
rnacentral:tRNA from 1 species